GAACAAUGUUAAUAGCUGCCAUAUAUUUAAGUGCUUACAUAAGGUACUUUGCAAAGUUCUAUGAAUUCUUUACUUCAGAUCUUUAUCAAAACCCAGCUUGGUAGGUAUAUGUCCCUUGUUUAUAUGUAGGGAAACUGCAUAAGGGUGAAAUGAAGUAAUUUACCCCAAAGCAUGAUUGGUAGAUUUGCAAUGUGCAUAUAGGACUGUUUUAAUCCAGAUCUCACCUGACUUACAUUUUGUUCCUUCAUUCUUUCAGAAGAUCAGUGGUGUUCCAAGUGACAUCUUUUCCCUCCAAGAGGGCAUUUGGCAGUGUCUGGAGAUUUUUUUUUUGGCUGUGACAACCAGGAGGUGCCGACUGUCCCCUAUAUGGGAAGGUCAAGGUUGUGUGACCUGGGACCUAAGACUUCUGAGGUCAUAGCUGGGAUGUUCCAACGUGCCUCCCUGAAGCACUGAGCCUGGAUGAAAGCAUCUGCAGAUAACAGCUCCUACCUGAAUAAGGUCACCUGCCGUGUGGUGAAGACACCCACGCAGCACUUGGAAAGGCCCAUGUGGCAAAGAACUGAGGUCGCCGGCCAAGAGCCCCCAACAACCAGCGCUGACUUGCUAGGUGUGUGAGCGGCCCACCUUGGAAGCAGAUCCCACAGCCUCCAUCAGGCCUUCAGAUGACCACAGCCUAAGCCAACAUCUUGACUGCAAUGUGGUGAAAGACCCUGAGCCAGAAGAAGCCCAGCCAGCCACUCAUUCGUGAAUUCCUGACCCAUUUGGAACCAUGUGAGCUCAUAAAUGUUCAUUGUUUCAAGCUGCUAAAUUUUGGGAUAAUUUAUUCCACAGUAAUUGGAAAUGGUCUAAUUAUAUUACUCCUUACUUGCAGAAUUGUCUUCCAACAUCCAUCUGGUUUACUGCCCAGAAUGCACAGUCCAUGGGGCAGGGACCCAUUCCCACCAGGUGCCGAAUUAACAGGCAUUGCAUGUCACUGAGUGCCAUGCAGUCAGCUCCCCUGCCCUGCUCCUUCCAGCAGAGUCAAUGGGGUUAGUUAAGUGAGGGAAAGAUUCUGGGGGUGGAGUGGAUGUGUGAGCCAGGGAGAGGGGAAGAGCCACGGUUAGGAUGAUCAUACGUCCCAAUUUGCCCAGGAUAGAGGGGUUUCCUGGGAUAGGGGACAUUUAGUGUCCAAACGGGGACAGUCUGGGAUAAACUGGAGUGAGCUGGUCUCCCUAGCUGGAGUGAGAAUGGAGGUCUCAAAGCUGCACUUCCAGUGAGCCGGCCAGACUGGUUCCCUUGGCCUGGAUAUGGAGACUCAUCCAUCUGAUCUGGUCAGGGGUGAGAACGUGCUCGUGGAGGGCCUAGUUUGAUCUUCCUAUCCCACUCAAACAGAGGGAGAUGGGAAGAUGGCCUUACAAAUGCCUAGACUAGGACUUCCCUGGUGGUCCGAUGGUUAAGAAUCUGUAUGCCAGUGCAGGGGAUAAGGCUUCGAUCCUUGUUCCGGGAGGAUCCCACCUGCUUUGGGGCAACUGAGCCCUCUCCCCCUAGAGCCUCUGCUCGGAGUCAAGAGAAGUGCCGGCAGUGAGAAGCCCGUGCACCGCGACUAGAGAGUAGCACCCGCUCACUGCAGCUAGAG
rnacentral:lncRNA from 1 species